rnacentral:other from 1 species
UACAUUCUGAGAUGUUCGAUAAAUCUUACGAUUUUGAACCUACAAAUGACCAAUGGGACACCUAUAUUCUUAAGUGGCUGUCAGGCCGAAGUAGUUCGUAAGCUGCGCUAGUUAUCAGCGGAAGGCAAAAAUUUAUAUGCGGUAACCCACCUAGCUUUAGCUAGGACUCAAAAUGUAAGAUCCGGCACCUUGGUAUUUAC